rnacentral:rRNA from 1 species
GAUGAACGCUGGCGGCGUGCCUAAUACAUGCAAGUCGAGCGAACGGACGAGAAGCUUGCUUCUCUGAUGUUAGCGGCGGACGGGUGAGUAACACGUGGAUAACCUACCUAUAAGACUGGGAUAACUUCGGGAAACCGGAGCUAAUACCGGAUAAUAUUUUGAACCGCAUGGUUCAAAAGUGAAAGACGGUCUUGCUGUCACUUAUAGAUGGAUCCGCGCUGCAUUAGCUAGUUGGUAAGGUAACGGCUUACCAAGGCAACGAUGCAUAGCCGACCUGAGAGAGUGAUCGGCCACACUGGAACUGAGACACGGUCCGGACUCCUGCGGGAGGCAGCAGUAGGGAAUCUUCCGCAGUGGGCGAAAGCCUGACGGAGCAACGCCACGUGAGUUAUGAAGGUCUUCGGAUCGUAAAACUCUGUUAUUAGGGAAGAACAUAUGUGUAAGUAACUGUGCACAUCUUGACGGUACCUAAUCAGAAAGCCACGGCUAACUACGUG